AACCGGCGCACGGGUGAGUAACACGUAUGCAACCUGCCCGUCUCAGGGGGAUAAUCGUCGGAAACGGCGUCUAAUACCCCGUAUGAAGCUGGACGGCAUCGUCUGGUUUUGAAAGAAUAUCGGAGACGGAUGGGCAUGCGGCGCAUUAGCUAGUUGGCGGGGUAACGGCCCACCAAGGCGACGAUGCGUAGGGGUUCUGAGAGGAAGGUCCCCCACACUGGUACUGAGACACGGACCAGACUCCUACGGAAGGCAGCAG
rnacentral:rRNA from 1 species